GGGGCAAUAGCUCCGUGGUAGAGCUCCCGCCUCGAAAGCGGGAAGACCUCGGUUUGAUUCCCGGCUGCCUUC
rnacentral:tRNA from 1 species